UGCGGUGACGAUGGCAUGAAGGCUACACCUGUUCCCAUUCCGAACACAGAAGUUAAGCUUCAUAGCGCCG
rnacentral:rRNA from 1 species